UGGGGAAUAUUGCACAAUGGGCGAAAGCCUGAUGCAGCAACGCCGCGUGAGUGAUGAAGGUCUUCGGAUUGUAAAGCUCUGUCUUUUGGGACGAUAAUGACGGUACCAAAGGAGGAAGCCACGGCUAACUACGUGCCAGCAGCCGCGGUAAUACGUAGGUGGCGAGCGUUGUCCGGAUUUACUGGGCGUAAAGGGUGCGUAGGCGGAUGUUUAAGUGAGAUGUGAAAUACCCGGGCUUAACUUGGGU
rnacentral:rRNA from 1 species